UUAUUAUAGUUGAAUGUGCGGAUGUGUCUUCUGUUUUAGUUAAAGCAACAUUGAUAGUCGAUUUGUCUCGUUUUAAGCACUGAGGAGGGUUAAGUGAGUUUGAGUUUUUGGUGGGUAAAUGUGCUUAAACUUAGCAGGGGCAGAUCUAGAGGGGCUGCCACCCUUCUGUCCACCCCAGCUGCCGCGAAUGCUGUCAAAUAUAACUCAUUCAUUUAGAAACAUUUUAAAAAGAACAUGUUUAAAAACGGACAUUAACACAUAAUAAUAAUUUAAUGAUCUGUAAUGGACACAUUUUAGAAAAAGUGAUUCAGAGGUGUCAAAAGUACACACAUUCUUUACUCAAGUAGAAGUUCAGAAAAAGCUUCCAGUAAAAGUAAAAGUACUGAUUCAACUUAAGUUACUUAAGUUAAAGUGAAAGGGUGCAGGCUCUUCUUAUUCCCUUUGUUUCUCUGACGGACAUUCCUACUGGCUGUUUCUGUGCUAAGCUAACUGAGACUUCAAACAGGGUCAACUCUUGCUCGUGUCUGUCAUCUUGACGUUUGUUUUGCAUUGUAUGCAUCAGGCUUGAUGUUGGGACCAUUCUCUGUCCGCCGGCCUGUCAGCCACGCUCACAACCAGCCUUUGUCCUCUGUCUCUCCAUGGAGUCCCUGCCUGCAUCCUCUGGAUUCCCCUCCACCACAUUCAUUCCCCUUUUAGUCUGGACAAUAAAUUACUCUCUUCAUCAAA